GUUAUUCUGAUGUUAAAGAAUCUUUUUUAUUUCAUGUUUCCAUUAUUUUGUCCACCUCCUGUAGAGCACAGUGUGAAAGUGAAGUGAAUUCCUGGAAUUCCUUCCUGGAAGGCUUGAAUUUAAAAAACAUAAUUCACAGGGAGAAUGUUCAAUCUUCCUCCUCUUUUUCGUCCUCGUCCAGUUCAGCUUCCCAAAUGAGCAAAGACUGCUUCUGUGUGAAAGGAUCCAGUGAUACCUCCCAUGUUGCUGCAUUUAUUUCUCUCUCGGUCAUUCAAAGUGCAUGUGGCACAGUGGACAGGAUGAUGGGCUCAAACAGUAGGCCUACAUGACUGUUCUCUAAAUGGAUGUCUCAAAGCUACUAAAUGAUUGUGUGUGGGUGUGUGACUUUUUAAUGCCCGUCCGCCGCCAUCCCUCAGCAAUCCACUGCAAGGCUGUUUAACGGGGAUAACACACCUGCAGUGGGACUGAGAAGGAUUGCAGAAGACAUGAAGACAGAAGAAAACAGACUGGGACUUUAAAGCAAAACAUACAAAAGACCUAAUGAAAAACAACUAACGAUGUCAAACUUAGCAGAGAUCCAGGUAUCCUCUGAUCUCUGCAUGUUCUUCUGAUUUUGACGUUUUCUGUUCUUUCCGUUGUAAAGACUUUUGUCCUGUUUACAUGUACUGUAAAUGCUGUCCAUCCAGUACUGGUUGGAUAGAUUAAAAAAGAAAAGGUGUGAAGCAGCUUUCAUUCUAGCUCUGGUAUUCUACGGCUGAUUACUGUCAUCCUAAGAAAACCCUUCUGUUCAAGCAAGCAUGUCCUCCUUUACCUUGAUCACUUAGUCCUUCCAUCUCUGUUCCCUCCAGAAAACCUUGCCUUUAGGUACCCAUACCAUAGCAAAACCCAAACCCUUUCAUCCUGCUCUACAGUACACAUACUAUAAGAAAAUGUAGUAGCCCAGCUACCCAACUACAAUCCAUUAGCCAAAACCACACCUACCUCCCCUUGUAACCCGCUGACCUCUACCAUGAAGGCCACAGUAUACUUUCUGCAGUGUCACAUUUUGACAGGUUUGCUCAAACUACAUAUAAAUUAUUUCCACACUAGCACUAAUUGGGCAUUAAUCUGCAGUUGGUUUGAAGCAUCAUAGCAGCACCUCUUUGCUAACAAUUCAAAUUUUGUUCUAACAGGCCAACAUUAUCUUACAACCAUUACAUCACAAAAAUUGUAUAAAAUCCUAUGUGAAGUGAAGGUUCUGCUUUGUAAAACGGUACUGCAAAUUUCUGUUUUGGUAAAACGAUCAAGGUUAUGGUACAUUGGGUUAUGAUUUAACUGUUUUAGUUAUGCUAAAUUAUGUUUCACUUUUGAGUCCACAUCUUCACAAUUGUACAUUUCGAGCUGAAAAGAUGUAUGUUAUUUAUAUUCAGGUUCAACGAACAAUGAGCAUAAAAGAUGACAAAUAUUUUAAACUAUAUAACUGUAUAUAACUUAACCCAUGCAAUUAACUACUGAGGAAAGUAGAAAUGAGUGUUAAGAAACAAAUGACACCUGUUCACCUAUGUUGGACUUGGCAAAAGACCUUGUGGGAAUUACCAGAUAUGACAAUUCUAUUUAAAUAAAUUUAACUGGAUGUGAAAUAUUGUUGUCAAAAUGUAAAUGUUACUGUGACCUGGCCUUUAGUCUACAUAAUCCCUCAGUAUCCUGUGUCACUUCCUCACCACAGUACUCUAUUCCCAACUUUAUUCACCAAUAUUUCCAACAAUGUAUGUGGUUUGCAAUGUGUUUUUUUUACUGUUCUGAAAGGCCUUCCAAAACCAUCUAUACAGUAUAUGAGUACUCAAAAAAGCCCUCAUAUGAGUGUUUUCUGUUCUGCUACCUUUCUUGUUCUGCUACAUUUAGGCAACUGAAACUAAGUUGUUAAGGUUAGGAAAAUAUGGUUAACAAACAUUAACAGCUGUUGAAUGGAAACAGGACUGUCACCCUGACCUUCUCCCCAUUGUCUCUAAAGCAAGAUGACAAAAUCACACUACUUUUGCCUUACUACUAUCUACCGAGGGGUGGAACAGUCAACAUUUGCAGGACCGCAAGAGAUUACUUGCAAAGAAAACAUAAACACAGUUGUUUUUUAUGGCAGUCGUCUUUCUAGUGAGAAAAGUCUCAGUUUUUAGGUCACAGUUCACUCUUAAAUCUUGUUGUGGAGUGUAAAUGAUUGUACAAUACAAAGCCGUCAUGAAUUAACCACAGUUUUUAUGUGUAAUUGUGUCCUGUUGUAUUUCUAGUUCAGACAUUUUGACUUUGCUAUAAGUAUACUGUUGCCUUUAUACAUCACUCCCCAAACCCUAACAGCCUCCCUGUCCUAUGCAGAUCCCCAAAGCACAAUGGUUUCAAUGGUAACCAGUGAGUAAAAUAGGAAAACAAUGAAUUUCCUUCCAUUCUGUUUGUAUUUGUCUGUUUCCCGUCUGUUUGAGGCUUCAAUGUGCUUUUGUAUUCCUUACAGUAUGUACAAACUCAGUUCCUCCCUUUCUCUCUAUCAAUAGCUGAACUUUGUUUUCCUGAAUAUUAGAACAACAAAGCAACUUUUCAUGUGUGCCUGUGGCUUCACUUAA